GACGAACCGUGCGAACGUUGUUCGGAAUCACUGGGCUUAAAGGGCGCGUAGGCGGGUGGUCAAGUCGGUGGGUGAAAUCCCCCAGCUCAACUGGGGAACUGCCUUCGAUACUGACUGUCUCGAGGAAGGUAGGGGCACGUGGAACUGGUGGUGGAGCGGUGAAAUGCGUAGAGAUCACUAGGAACGCCGGUGGCGAAAGCGACGUGCUGGACCUUUUCUGACGCUGAGGCGAGAAAGCCAGGGGAGCGAACGGG
rnacentral:rRNA from 1 species